CCCUACGUGGACGUAGAAAGUGGGAGGGGCGUGUAAACAGAGAGAAUCCCGAACAAAGAAGAAGCGAAUUUACUUCAACCGAUAAAUCGAGUGCGUUAAGGUUAUCAUCAUGCCGAUUCGCCGGUCAGCUGCGGCUCCUCCCAAGGAGGACACGCCCCCAGCACCUGAGUCAGAGCUGUGUCACGGAAGCAAUGGUGCUGUGUUUCAAUCGAGAUUUUCUCAAGUCUCUGCUAAUGAGAUGUGACGCUGCAAAGCUGUGAAUCAAAAACCAUCAGCUUGAAUGAUCCUUUGGACCGGUUGUACAGCGUGUGUGGUUUGAUGUUUCUUCAGGUCCCCGCUCUCAGCCUGAGUUCCUACGGAUGGAAGGAAAAACUCAUCCUGUCGUGUGUGUAUAUAAGAUCUGUUACUUCCUUCUGAGCUUUCCCGCUCUAUAAUGUCUCUAAACAGAUUUACAAAUAAGUGAAGAUUAACCAGAAUUAUUCAAGCAAGUGGUUUUUAUUUACUGCUUUAUCACAUCACGCUAAAUUUGCAUAUAAUCAUGAUGCCAAAUAAUUUUUGUCUGUUAAUUGGCAUGUGUACGUAGAGAAUUUAAUAGUCACCUGUCGCU
ensembl:lncRNA